UGAUUUUUAUUAACUUUUGUCCAUUUUAGUGCAUCUGCUCGUGAGCCCUUCGUCACUGUGGACUGCAGGGCCAACGCUCUUUAGACAGCGUUAAGACUGCACUGUUUGUUCUGCUGCUAUUUUUAUGACCGUGACCAAUUGCAUUUGAUUUAUUACUUUCUGGCGUUGUUUGUUUGUUUAUCACGCUCAUGCUGGUGGGUUAGGUGAAGAAAGAGUGGCUAGUCCGACUCGUCAUUUAAAGCGAGCUGUGCCGUCCACGGCGCUUGCUUAGCUCCACCGGCUGUUAUAUUGCCACCAGCAGCGUGUUUUUGUUUAUCUAUUUGGUUGCUUUUUUUUUUGUUGGAUUUGCGCUCUUCCUAAGGACGGCGUGGAAGAAUCGGGAGCUGAAGGCCCCAGUGAGGGAAGCUAGCUGCCUUGGCCCUGUGGUGGUGGUGUUUCUCUCAGUGUUUUGCUAUCUGAUAUCUGCUUCUCCCUCACUUAGAGUGGGUGUGGUGUGAGUGUGUUGAGUGGUGUCUUAGGAUACUCACUGUUCAGCUAGCUCCCUACUGAUUCACCUUCUUAGGAUGUGCCGGCUGCCUGCUGAGCGAAGCUCCUGGGGCGAAAACCCCCAACUCCCCACAAUUCACUGGAUUAUUAACAAAGCUCACUCUUCCCUGGAUUGGAGAUGCUUGCACCUCCUCUGCUCCUCAUCACUGCCUGCCAGCAGCCUAAGUGGAGUUUUUUCCAUUGUGUGUUGCACCGUCUCUCUCCUUCUCACCCCCUAAAUCUUCUAAAAAUAAAACACUCGCUUUGUUUUACACCGUA